CUGGAAUAGUGAGAACCGUUGACUCUGGAAUAGUGAGUGAAGUAUCAUAGUGCGGUUUUUCGGUCUGUUCCUCGCUACCUGACCAGCCAGCCAGAAAUUUGUGACAUCUGUAACAUUUCAUGAAACAAACUACACUUGUGACAAAGUAAGUCAAAAUUCUCCAGCCAAGAAGUUUCUAAAACUGCUCAUGAACGGACUACUCUUUUGUUUGGCUUGAGAAAAACUAGGCUGUGGAUUGGAACAUUUGAGACCAUCUUAUUCAAGAUCCUGUUAUUCAAGAUAUCCUAAAUUAGUUGCUUUUAAAACUAUAUAUUCUGAGACAGGAGAAACAGGCGCUUGGUGUUACUGAUUUACUGCACUUUGAGACCCCGUUAUUCAAGAAAAAAGUUCGUUGCUUUUACAAUAUAGUUUAAUGAAGUGAGACUGGAGCCUGGUGAUAUGAUGCACUUGCACCAAAUGUUGUCUUGCUUUGAUUAAAAGGUGUAAUUAGUAAA